CGGCCAUGUGGCGCGUUCUGGAGCGGGCGCGGGCGAUUGGGCGCGCGGCGGUGGGAGGCGGGGCUCGGUCCGGGGGCGGGCGCUGUGCUUGGGAGCUAGGCCUGCAGGAGACGGGCGCGGCGGAGUGUCGUCCCGCGUCUGGUCGUCUUCUGAGGUCCCCGGGUCGGCGCGCAGGCUGGGCCGCGAUGCCCGAGGUGAGCACUGACGAGCUGGACGAGCGGCAAGUGCAGCUCUUGGCGGAGAUGUGCAUCCUCAUCGACGAGAACGACCGGAGGAUCGGGGCGGAGACCAAGAAGAACUGCCAUCUGAACGAGAACAUCGAGAGAGGAUUAUUGCAUCGAGCUUUUAGUGUUUUCUUAUUCAACACUGAAAAUAAGCUCCUGCUGCAGCAGAGAUCAGACGCUAAAAUUACCUUUCCAGACCUGCUUUGAAGAAGAGUUAAUGCACAUCUAUAUUAACGUGUUCCAGGUUGUUUUACGAAUACUUGCUGUAGUCAUCCCUUAAAUAAUCCACGAGAGCUUGAAGAAAACAAUGCAAUUGGAGUAAGGCGAGCAGCACAGAGGCGUUUAAAGGCCGAAUUGGGAAUUCCCAUGGAAGAGGUUCCUCCAGAAGAAAUUAAUUAUCUAACACGAAUCCAUUACAAGGCUCAAUCUGAUGGUAUCUGGGGAGAACAUGAAAUUGAUUACAUUUUGUUUGUGAAGAAGAACGUGACCUUGAAUCCAGAUCCCAAUGAGAUUAAAAGCUAUUGUUACGUAUCAAAGGAAGAACUAGAAGAACUUCUGGAAAAGGCAGCCCGUGGUGAAAUUAAGAUAACUCCGUGGUUUCAAAUUAUUGCAGAGACUUUUCUCUUUAGGUGGUGGGAUAACUUAAAUCAUUUGAAUCAGUUUGUUGACCAUGAGAAAAUACACAGAAUGUAGAUGUGGAGAUGAAUGAUUACUAAAGUACUAAAGAAUUUCUCUACUUAGAAAACUUAAGAUGAAUUUUUUAAAAACCUGGUUCCCCAUUAGAACUCUCAUUGGAAAUACUGAUACUUCACAACCAGAAUUUGUGUGGAAAAGAAUUCUUGAUUUGUGUCAUACAACCCAUAUAUGUUAACUGCAAUUUGUAGAAAAUAUUUGAGAUUAUAAAAAGAGCAAAUAAACUUAAUUUAACCUAUCUAAACACAUGGUUAUGACAAAUUUGAACAAAUAAGUGAAGUUCUUCAUUUUUUUAUAUAUUGUGAUUAACAUUUUCAGAAGACUUGUAGAGCACUUUGCUGUUUGCCAGGUGCUUGACAUAUCUUUAAAUUUUUAUCAUAGUCCAGAAAAACGUGCAAUGGAAAACUAUUUGCUUAUCUACUUCAAAACAGUUCAAAUUAACUUUUCAGAUUGAGAUUAAUAUAGAACAGGUUCAAGGGAAUUAAAUGGUAUAUAUCCUGAUUUCUGUCAUUGUUAAUUUUGUGUUUUAAUCAUUCUGGAAGUAUUCUGAUACUUAAAGUCAAACAUUGUUUUUGGUAAUGACAUUGGCUAGGUUAAGUCAUUUAAAUAAUCGUUGCUGAUUAGCAAAGUCUGUGGUUUUCAGAGUUACUGGGGUCAGGCUAGUUGUAAAAUGGAACUUGAGUCAGUUGGGUCAUACUCUACAACAGGGUAUUUUAGCCUUGGCACUGCUGAUGUUUGGGUUGGAUAAUUCUUUUGGGGGCUCAUCCUUUGUGUUGUAGGAUUUAGCAGCAUCCCCAGGUUCUACAUAAAAUGCUGUUGGCACCCCUCCCCCCAUGGCAGCCCCAGUGACACCAGAUGCCGAAUGUCUCCUCCAGGACAGCGUCACCCACAGUUGAGAACCACUGUUCUGCUGAGUCAGGCCAUGUUGUAGGGGGAAAAUUAUCAAAAAGAAAGGCUAACAUUCAUGUUAAAUAGAUUUGGGUUAUGGAAUAUGUGUGUAUUCAUAUUUAAAGUACACUUUGACUAAUGUACUUCUUUAAACUCUUGCCAUAGACUUCUCAGAUUUGAAAUCUUAAGACAGCUUUAUUAUCUUUGAAUGCUGUGUAUUAGUAAGUAAUAAAGAAAAAGAUAAAAAUUUGUUUCUUACAAAGCUAAAUGUUUUAUAAAUUCAAUAGAAAAAUCCAUUUGUUAACCCUGAACAGUUAAUUUCAGGCAAGACUGUGUAGCUGAUAGUAACUUUAUUGAAAAAUAAAAACAAAACUAAAUUA